AACGAACGCUGGCGGCAUGCCUAACACAUGCAAGUCGAACGAGACCUUCGGGUCUAGUGGCGCACGGGUGCGUAACGCGUGGGAACCUGCCCUUAGGUUCGGAAUAACUCCCCGAAAGGGGUGCUAAUACCGGAUAAUGUCUUCGGACCAAAGAUUUAUCGCCUUUGGAUGGGCCCGCGUUGGAUUAGCUAGUUGGUAGGGUAAAAGCCCACCAAGGCGACGAUCCAUAGCUGGUCUGAGAGGAUGAUCAGCCACACUGGGACUGAGACACGGCCCAGACUCCUACGGGAGGCAGCAGUGGGGAAUAUUGGACAAUGGGCGAAAGCCUGAUCCAGCAAUGCCGCGUGAGUGAUGAAGGCCUUAGGGUUGUAAAGCUCCUUUACCCGGGAUGAUAAUGACAGUACCGGGAGAAUAAGCUCCGGCUAACUCCGUG
rnacentral:rRNA from 1 species